UACGUAGGGUGCAAGCGUUAAUCGGAAUUACUGGGCGUAAAGCGUGCGCAGGCGGUUAUGCAAGACAGAUGUGAAAUCCCCGGGCUCAACCUGGGAACUGCAUUUGUGACUGCAUGACUAGAGUACGGCAGAGGGGGGAUGGAAUUCCGAGUGUAGAGGUGAAAUUCGUAGAUAUUCGGAAGAACACCAGUGGCGAAGGCGACUGACUGGACAUGGUAUUGACGCUGAGGACGAAAGCGUGGGGAGCAAACAGG
rnacentral:rRNA from 1 species